CGGCAAAGUGCUCGCGUUCGUGAAAGUCCACAGACGACUUUCAGGGUCGUCUGCUCCGCUCGUCCGCUCCUGCUUCGACUCUCGCGGCGAGAAGGAGCCGCCGAAAACAAGAAACGUCGUCCACGUACGUCGCGUCGCGGUCUCGAACAGUUGGAACCCGGGAAGGUGUCCUCCUGAUCGCCCGGAGACACGUCGCGCCUAAACUCCGUCGUUCGUCGCGGAGAUCGAUGAGACGACGCUCCGUCGCGAGGAUUUCUCGUCCACUCGGCGCGGAUCACGAGUUCCUUGACCGUCCGAUAUCGCCGUACGAUCGAUCCCGCCGUACGAUCGUCGCGGCCAGCGAAUCUCGCGUGGACUCCCGUUGAUAUGUGAUCGGCCUGUGAUUUCUGGUGCGAAGGAAGCUCGAAUCCGCGAGAGGAUCCCUCGGUGGUCGCGUCGCGAACCGGAAUCGCUUGGAGACCAGUAACGGAACAUCGAGGAGCUUCCAACGAACCGAUCCACCUUUCGGUGAUCGUCUUUCAUCUUACGGUGUGACGUGACCAAGGCUUCCCUACGAAACUUGUUUUCUAAAUAAAACCUAACUCGCGACGAUGUCCUCGCGUCUCCGCGUCCCGUCGACGAGGGACGGCGCCAGAUUGGUUCACGCCAACGAGCGGUUCCACGACGAGCAAGACGAUCAACCGCUGAAACCGAGGACGUGCAAGAACGGCUCGAAUCGCUACCACUUCGGGAUGACGCGACCACGGGACGAGGAGGUGAGCAGGAACGGUCGCGACCACAGGGACCACUCGGACGAGGACGCUGACGCGUUGUACAAAAAGAGCAGGCAGCACUUCGGCGCCUGGGACUUCAAGGACGUCGUCCUGGAGGAGAGACCCGGCCCGAGGAAGUCGACCGACCGAUUCGACGAACCCAGGUUAACGAACGGUCACUCCCGGAACGACCUCGUCCGGCAGGAUCAAGAACAAUCGCACAGAUCCAGGAGGAAGGACUGUCCGCCUUGGGAGGAGUCGAAGGCGUCGAGAAGUCGCGCUAGAAACGAGGAGAUCACUCCAGACCAUUCGAAGGUGGCGGACGAGAGGGAUCUACUUCUAAGGGAGAUUGAGAACCUGACGGUCGAGGGAACGUCGCCCGAUCGGAGGAUCAGGGCGAUGAUCGAGAGGUUCAAGACCAGGGAGGAGGACAAGCUCAGGUCCAGAAGGGAGAGGGACUCGCUGAGUCCGGAGAAGGACGGGUGCAGGUCGAAAAGCGUUGGACGAAACGAGUCGCGGCUGGAUCACGAGGAUCGUGUCAACGACAGGGGAUCCAGGACCCAGAAGGACGAUCAGCCGGUGAGAUCGAAGAUAACGGAGCCCGAGCACGAGGAGCCAAGCAGAGGUCGGUCCGUCGAUCGCAGGGCUGAGAAGUUCAAUGGAUUCGGGGACUCGAGGAGGAACGACGGCGUGCCGCGUCACAGGAACGACAGCUCGGAGAAGAGUCGUCGCAGACGAUCCAGGGAGCUCGAGGACGACCUGCCGCGCAGGAAAGAUAGCCCUAAAAGAAGAAGCUACGCUUACGAGGGAAACCCAGAGGACUUCGACGUGAGAAUACAGAGGUACGAGAGAGGCCUUUUGGAACCCAGAAGAGAGUCUCCCAAGCGAGUGUUGUUGAAAGACUCCGACCAAAAGGAGUCCUUCAAGGACUACGAUCGACAAGUGACUAGGAAGAGCUCCUUCAAGAAGACCCACAGGGACAGAGAGAGUCCCAGAAGAGAAUCUAGCUUGAAUAGAAAAGCUUCUCUCAAAACCCCGGAGAACGAUCUCCCUAGGAAGAAUUCCUUCAAGGACUCCGAGAAGAACUACUUCGGUAAGGAUCACGUCUCCAGGAAAAGUUCCUUCAAGGAGCCCGGAAUCCCUCCUGGCUACGAAUCUCCCAGGAAGAACUCCCAGCAGGGCUCGGAUUACGGUCGGAUCGCGCCGAAGAUGCACGACGAAGAGGAGCAGAAAAAUAAUUUCAAAGGACACGUCGGUGGAGUGAGCAGAAUCACGUUUAAAGAACGCGAGGAAGCCAGGGUCCGCGCGUACAAAGAUCAGGAAUCUGAAGUCAGAGGCUUCAAAGAUCACUCGACCGAUCUAGGGCGCAAGAAUUCUUUCAAAGAGAAGACCGUCGAGUUCGCCGGCGUCUCUUACGAAAAUCAGGACGACGAGGACCGGAGGACCUCGUACAAGGGUCAGGACAAAGCGAUCUUCCGGGGUCAGAGACACUCCCCUAACGGUCGAUACGUGGAGUUCGGUACGGUGUCCUAUCACAACCAGGACGAGGAGGUACUGACGAAGGAUCAUGAUCAGGAUCAGGAUCACGAUUUGGGAAGGAAGAACUCGUUCAAGGAUCGAGACUCUCCUUCGAAGAGGAGACCGUCUCUCAGGAGCAAGAGCCACGAGCCCUUCGACAAACGAUCUAAUAGACACUCUAGACCGCUCACUCCCCCGAAAAAGGACGAGAGUCUCGAGGAACUCGGGGACCGCGAGGACUUUGACUCAAGGUCCUGGCACGAGAGCAACAGACACUUCGCUGUCAAGUACCUCAGGGAGAACGGCAGGUACCGCUCGAACCCCGAAGGUCACUCGGAGAUCGAGAGAGAUCCCUCUCCGGAGGGCAUCACAGGAGGGCAGGACAGGAAGCACUCCGUGGACGAGGUGUUCAUCGACCAAGUCGAGGCGACGAAAAGGGAGCAACGGAACGACUACUCGAACAUCGGCUCGUACGGGUUCGUCGUCGAGCACGAUCAGACUCGCGAGCGAAUUCAGGACAGCCUGUACGCGGCCACUCGCGAGAGGAACGGCGCCACGAUCAUCAGGAUCCGCUCGAGUCCCGAGGCGACGGUCGAGAGGCGACGCAGACGUCGUCCGCCGCAGGACGCCCACGCGCCGAGACGCAGGCGUUACGACGACGAAGAGGACGACAGCGAGGACGACGAGGAUGACCAUCGCAGACGGAGGGCGUCGCGGGGCGACGGUUCAGCGCCGCUCAGAGCUGUCCCUACACCGUCCAGGCGAAUCUGGAAUUACCGCGAAGGGGGUGUCCUGAUCACUGACGUCGAGGAGGGCCAGCCCUGUUUGCAGUGCGGGGAAACGUGCUCAGGAUUCUCACCCCACACGUGGAGAAAGAAUUGCACGAGUUGCAAGUGCCCCAGAGAGGCGCACGACGUGUGCCACGAGGAAUGGGUGUCAGUUAGGUCUCGAUUGGGCCUCAAAGGCGAUGAGUCCUCCUCGCCAGUUGGCUUCGACCCCAGAGAGAAGGGCCUGGCUUGGGCGCCACCUGGCCUUCCGGCCCACAAGGUGGAGGAGUACUUUUCCAUGCUGCCAGAGAUCUCUGUGCCGCGAUUGGGCACGCCCGGAGAAAGAUACAGGGACCGACAAUUGGCGAUUCAGCUGCCUAAGCAGGACUUAGCCAGAGCCUACUGUCGCCACUUGAACCCGAACCACGCCAGCAGCGCUGACGAUUUUAUGGCCGCGAGAAACGAGAUCGCGCUGGACAUUGGAAACGUGCAGGAGGUGCUCGAGAGAGAUAUCAAUUGCGGAGCGUGCCACAUGCCCCUGAAAUACGGCAGCCUGGCCGUGUCAGCGAGUAAACUGGGUCUUCUUUACCAUCCGACGUGCUUUCAGUGCUUCGAGUGCACGGAGCUUUUGGUCGAUCUCGCCUAUUGCGUGCACAACGACACCCUAUUCUGCGAGAGGCAUUACGCCGAACAGCUGAAGCCUAGAUGCGCGGCUUGCGACGAGGUUUGUACUUUUUCCUUUUUCUAGAUCACUAAUGGUAGCUGUAUCAGCGACAAUUACCGGUAAAGUCGAGUCGCGAGUUAGAGAGCAAGUAGUAACAGACAGCACCAGUCAGACAUGGCUACCAUCUGUUGCUAAGGUAGACACCUGUAAAGCUCUGACCCGUAGGUAAUCGAAAUUGUUCUAUGAAUUUAAUAUUCGAAUAUUUGAUUGACAUUUAACACUUCACCGACCGGUAGUCUGUUAAUAAACUUUUUCCUAAGACAACCAAUACUUCUUUAUCUAUUAUUAAAAUAUCAUUCUAUCCUCCCGUAAUUAUAUGAAUUAUGAAAUAUUAUAUAAAUGUUAACCACAAAACGGUUCUAACACAUAAAAUAAAUAUUAAAUAAUACUAACGUUGUUAAAAUAAUAAGUAUUAUUGAACUUAAUUGUAUGUUCCUUUGCUACUGGUUAGUAAAGUGUUAAGUGUCACGAGUAUUAUUGAACUUAAUUGUACGUUCCUUUGCUACUGGUCGGUAAAGUGUUAAGUGCCACGAGUAUCCUCCGAAUACUCAAAUACAAAAGAGAUCAUCUACAAAUAGUCAUAAUCGAACUAUCGAGCUCGCAUCCACUGCUAGAUCGAGCCAGUUACCAACUGAGAUUCGUCUUUAUCGACGCGACUUUACCCACCGCGAUCCUCCUUACUCGCACCAGGUACAUGCUACAAUCGAUCGCAUUCCAAUCGAUGCUCGAAGCGUCUCUCGAGUCGCGUUUCAAACUCCACAGCGGGAAGCGCUCGAUUCGAACGAUAAUUUCUCCUUUUAGACGAUUUAGAAGAAGACAUAAAAAAGUUCAUACUCGCCUCGCUUCGUCCCCAUUUACGGCAACGAAGACCAGAAUCCUGGCAUCGUGGACCGAGCAUCCUUUCGCCAGGCAUGACCCUGGCUGUCAAGCAAUGAAAAUCAAUGCACUGCGCUUUUUAUUAAGACUUUUAUUAGACUUAAAAAAAAAAAAAAAAUCUAAGGAGCCAAAACUCGCAUUCAUUCUCACAACUACGUACAUGCACGAGGCCUCUUUGAGGACAAAGUGUCCAAGGUGCCCAUAAGUUAAGACGACCCUGGUCAUAGCCGCCAGUUCGUGGCUAAACCAUUAAAAAUCGACACGGUCCACUUUUAUACCGCGUGUUCCCGUCAUCGGGCCACAAUUUUUCAUCUCUAUCCGAACACACGGUUUCUCGACGCGACGAUUAAUCUCCCCGCGACAGUUUGGACAGCGUGGUCGGUUAAUCGUAAACAAUUCCGGCCGCUCCUAAAAUAUCUGGAGCAUAAUGAUAUUAAGUGUCGCGCAAUCGCGUUGUUCGGCUGGUCGCGCGGGAACUGGGCCGCUUUCGGCUUUAUUUAGAUGGACGGAAAUAGGAAUCGCGUAUGAUACACGCGUGCCCGUCACCGUUCGGGCUGCGCAAUGCGAAUUAUGUUGCAAAAACGUGAAUAAUCGGCGACGAUACAGACGAAACUUGCGACCGUUUCAUCCGCGAUCGCUCGAUGACUAACAAACCAAUCCUACACCGGGGAUACUUUUAAACCGUUGCUCAUCACGACCAUGCUCGAUCCGUGUAUUCCUCAGGUUUCUCGGUUGAGUACUAUAGCAAUGUUUGUUCCUUUAUUAACCGACUUCGAAAAGGAGGAGGUUAUUCAAUUCGACAUGUAUUUCAUAAAUUUUGGACUUUCGUCUCCAAGGGGUACAGCAAAGUUUGUAUAAAUGCUAAAACGCGGGAUCGAACUGGUGCGUUUCUGAUAGAGUUUGUACAUUCUCUGAUGUUUUGUCGACAUGGUUUGAACGUAGAGAAGGACAGGGAAUAAAGGAAGAAGACGAAGAGAAAAGAUAAAGUUUCCAUACAAUGGAUGAACUAGGGAUUGACUGGUGCAUUCAUGGUAGAGUUUGUACAUUCUCUGAUGUUUUGCCGACAUGGUUUGAAUGUAGAGAAGGACAGGGAAUAAAGGAAGAGGACAUACAGGAAGAGGACAUACAGGAAGAAGAUAACACUGUUUCUGGGCAUUUAUGAGAGAGAAAUUUGUGCAUUUAAAGAGACUUUACUGUAACACCACUCUAGAGGCUGAAAAAAAAGGCAACUAAUUUCAAGAGUAUCGCAGAAGGAAUAGGACUACUAUCGAAAUUUUCGGCCAAUUUCCGGAACAGAGAGUCAGGAAUUCAAGCGCGAGUGGCCUGCGGAACGUCAGCUGUCGCUGUUCGUUAGGCGCGUAGCGUUCGUUCGUGUAACUGAAUUGGUUUUCUUCCAACCGGAAACCCUGUCGUUUAAUCGUGCCCGCCGCGGGUCGGUAAUCUAUUUUGAUUUCUUGUCGAAGCUCCCACCACGAUCCGCGGCCUGUCCAGACACCGAGAACGGUUCCCCGUCUUUUAUUAGAGUCAGUCAAUUGGAGGCGAACCGAAAGCCGAGCUAAACCGCGAGAAUAAUCGAGAGGAACCCGGGUUCCGUCCUGAUCCGUCCAUAAACGAGAAGGGGUGAGCCUCAGAGGGUGGUACUCGCCCUCGAGAGUCGUUGUUCCGUGUUUCGAUCCAGCCGAGACCACUCAGAGACGCGGAGAAUUGUUCGCGUCUGCGAGGACGUAACGCACGCGACGGUAUCAUCGGCGGGAGAGGUGGUCUCGAGUUUCCGACAAACAUCUUCAACGAACAUAGAAGUUAUGAAUACUCAUGGGACUGACUGUACCUCCAGUCACAUGACACCCACAGUCAGGUACUCGGUCUCCGACACCUGAAUUUUCAUUAAAGAACCGUGAAAGAGUCUUCGAGUCUGGGUCAAACGUGACCCCAUACACUUCGUCUAAACUUCCCCCCAAAGGAUACCCAAAAUAGACCCACAUCGAACGGUUCUCGAGCGUCAUAGUUGAACCGAAACGCGACCCCUAAAACGGCGCCCGGCGAUCGUCAGCCAGCGACCAUAGCCGCGUACUGCAUUCUUCCGUCGUUUCGCGCGAGCCAGUGCACCGCGUAGCGGCGUCGAAGAAGAGAAAGAAGGGGUGCCUAAGGAAAAGUUGCACCCGGCACACUGCAACGAGAAUCUCGGCGGAAGGAGAACGCGCCACUGGUGGAAGGGGAGCAGGAGGGGUGGCGGGUGGACGCGCGCGACGCGUAUUCUGGAGUCGUCGGGACGCCGAAAAUAGCGUCCCGAUAUGAUGACGCCCGGAGCGGGCCGAUCCUAGAUUUCAGUCAGUUCGCAAGCUCGAAAGCUGCUGGUUACACCGACUCCCUUGAUCGCACACGCUCUCUCUCUCUCUCUCUUUCUCUUUCUUUCUCUCUCUCUCUCUCUAUCCCCGUAACCGAACAUCCGUUGCUCCUCGACGCUCGAUCGUCUCCCAGUCCCUGACCUCAUCCCUGCCCGUGCGGACGGAUCAGACGUGCCGAUCGCGAGAGAUCACGCGUGCUUCGAAAGAGAGAAGAAAAAAAAGGAAAACAACACCUUUCGUAGAACGAUCCCAUUGACUCGACGAUGGCGGACGUAGACAGUGUAGUGUACACGACCACCGAGCGCAAGGUUCGCAAAGUGAAGAAGACGACCAAGCGCA